rnacentral:rRNA from 1 species
CAGUAGCCGCGGGAAUACGUAGGUGGCAAGCGUUGUCCGGAAUUAUUGGGCGUAAAGGGCUCGCAGGCGGUUCCUUAAGUCUGAUGUGAAAGCCCCCGGCUCAACCGGGGAGGGUCAUUGGAAACUGGGAAACUUGAGUGCAGAAGAGGAGAGUGGAAUUCCACGUGUAGCGGUGAAAUGCGUAGAGAUGUGGAGGAACACCAGUGGCGAAGGCGACUCUCUGGUCUGUAACUGACGCUGAGGAGCGAAAGCGUGGGGAGCGAACAGGAUUAGAUACCCCGGUAGUCCCUGUCUCUUAUAC